AGAUUAGCCAUGCAUGUCUAAGUAUAAGCAAUUUAUACAGUGAAACUGCGAAUGGCUCAUUAAAUCAGUUAUCGUUUAUUUGAUAGUACCUUUACUACUUGGAUAACCGUGGUAAUUCUAGAGCUAAUACAUGCUAAAAAUCCCGACUGUUUGGAAGGGAUGUAUUUAUUAGAUAAAAAAUCAAUGCUUUUCGGAGCUCUUUGAUGAUUCAUAAUAACUUUUCGAAUCGCAUGGCCUUGUGCUGGCGAUGGUUCAUUCAAAUUUCUGCCCUAUCAACUUUCGAUGGUAGGAUAGUGGCCUACCAUGGUUUCAACGGGUAACGGGGAAUAAGGGUUCGAUUCCGGAGAGGGAGCCUGAGAAACGGCUACCACAUCCAAGGAAGGCAGCAGGCGCGCAAAUUACCCAAUCCCGACACGGGGAGGUAGUGACAAUAAAUAACGAUACAGGGCCCUUUCGGGUCUUGUAAUUGGAAUGAGUACAAUGUAAAUACCUUAACGAGGAACAAUUGGAGGGCAAGUCUGGUGCCAGCAGCCGCGGUAAUUCCAGCUCCAAUAGCGUAUAUUAAAGUUGUUGCAGUUAAAAAGCUCGUAGUUGAACCUUGGGCUUGGUUGGCCGGUCCGCCUUUUUGGCGAGUACUGGACCCAACCGAGCCUUUCCUUCUGGCUAACCUUUCGCCCUUGUGGUGUUUGGCGAACCAGGACUUUUACUUUGAAAAAAUUAGAGUGUUCAAAGCAGGCCUUUGCUCGAAUAUAUUAGCAUGGAAUAAUAGAAUAGGACGUUAUGGUUCUAUUUUGUUGGUUUCUAGGACCAUCGUAAUGAUUAAUAGGGACGGUCGGGGGCAUCAGUAUUCAGUUGUCAGAGGUGAAAUUCUUGGAUUUACUGAAGACUAACUACUGCGAAAGCAUUUGCCAAGGACGUUUUCAUUAAUCAAGAACGAAAGUUAGGGGAUCGAAGAUGAUCAGAUACCGUCGUAGUCUUAACCAUAAACUAUGCCGACUAGGGAUCGGGUGUUGUUCUUUUUUUGACGCACUCGGCACCUUACGAGAAAUCAAAGUCUUUGGGUUCUGGGGGGGAGUAUGGUCGCAAGGCUGAAACUUAAAGGAAUUGACGGAAGGGC
rnacentral:rRNA from 1 species